AUUGAACGCUGGCGGCAGGCUUAACACAUGCAAGUCGAGCGGGGGAGGUUGCUUCGGUAACUGACCUAGCGGCGGGCGGGUGAGUAAUGCUUAGGAAUCUGCCUAUUAGUGGGGGACAACAUCUCGAAAGGGAUGCUAAUACCGCAUACGUCCUACGGGAGAAAGCAGGGGACCUUCGGGCCUUGCGCUAAUAGAUGAGCCUAAGUCGGAUUAGCUAGUUGGUGGGGUAAAGGCCUACCAAGGCGACGAUCUGUAGCGGGUCUGAGAGGAUGAUCCACCACCCUGGGACUGAGACACGGCCCAGACUCCUACGGGAGGCAGCAGUGGGGAAUAUUGGACAAUGGGGGGAACCCUGAUCCAGCCAUGCCGCGUGUGUGAAGAAGGCCUUUUGGUUGUAAAGCACUUUAAGCGAGGAGGAGGCUACCGAGAUUAAUACUCUUGGAUAGUGGACGUUACUCGCAGAAUAAGCACCGGCUAACUCUGUGCCAGCCGCCGCCGUAACAC
rnacentral:rRNA from 1 species